rnacentral:rRNA from 1 species
GACGAACGCUGGCGGCGUGCCUAAUACAUGCAAGUUGAGCGCUGAAGGUUGGUACUUGUACCGACUGGAUGAGCAGCGAACGGGUGUGUAACGCGUGGGGAAUUUGCCUUUGAGCGGGGGACAACAUUUGGAAACGAAUGCUAAUACCGCAUAAAAACUUUAAACACAAGAGUUAAGUUUGAAAGAUGCAAUUGCAUCACUCAAAGGUGAUCCCGCGUUGUAUUAGCUAGUUGGUGAGGUAAAGGCUCAACAAGGCGAUGUUACAUAGCCGACCUGAGAGGGGAGUCGGCCACAUUGGGACUGAGACACGGCCCAAACUCCUACGGGAGGCAGCAGUAGGGAAUCUUCGGCAAUGGACGAAAGUCUGACCGAGCAACGCCGCGUGAGUGAAGAAGGUUUUCGGACCGUAAAACUCUGUUGGUAGAGAAGAACGUUGGUGAGAGUGGACAGCUCAUCAAGUGACGGUAACUACCCAGAAAGGGACGGCUAACUACGUGCCAGCCGCCGCAGUAA